rnacentral:rRNA from 1 species
CAGUCGCCGCGGUAAUACGGAGGGCGCGAGCGUUACCCGGAUUUACUGGGCGUAAAGGGCGUGUAGGCGGCCUGGGGCGUCCCAUGUGAAAGGCCACGGCUCAACCGUGGAGGAGCGUGGGAUACGCUCAGGCUAGAGGGUGGGAGAGGUGGUGGAAUUCCCGGAGUAGCGGUGAAAUGCGCAGAUACCGGGAGGAACGCCGAUGGCGAAGGCAGCCACCUGGUCCACUUCUGACGCUGAGGCGCGAAAGCGUGGGGAGCAAACCGGAUUAGAUACCCCGGUAGUCCCUGUCUCUUAUAGA